GAGAAAACUUUGUUCCAACGAACUUGGGGAGCAGCUCUUCUUCUGGCUUAUUGUGGAUGGUAACUGGUGCCGCUAAUUUGCCUCGUUUUGAUCAUCCCUCUGCAUCCCGAGUGAAGGUCAUUUCUGGUUUUAAGAAAAGCAGUCCAGAAGCUGUUGAGGCAAAUGUGUUAGAAGAUGAUGACAUACCUGGGGGAGUGAAACUGCUUGAGAAGUUACAAGGAAGUACCUCUGUGGAGGAAAAGGUUUUUGUGACAGUUGCUGAAGCUGUGAAGACAGCAAUGUGCAAUUUGUUGAUAAAAAAGCAGUAUUCAGUGGAGAAACGAGAGUUUAGAAAGAGUACCCGAAACGAUAAAAAAAUCAAACAGUAAAACCUUUUCAAGAAAUUACAGCUCUUUCCAUUAUAACUUCUUAUUCAUAGAGGCAUCCCAAGUCGGAGCUGUGCCAUGGCUUCCGUUGGAGUUUUGGUAAUGC
rnacentral:lncRNA from 1 species